ensembl:snoRNA
CCUCCUUUCCUUGGCCGGGGCCGGACGUGCAGUCCUGGUCCCCCGUACGUAUGGGGGCAGAGGGAGCGGACACCGGUCGGUCCCCCUCCGUGUCAUGUCUUUGGCGCCGGCAGCUACCCGUCCCCUGGUUCUAUCCUCAAACGCUGGGACAAGG